rnacentral:rRNA from 1 species
GAUGAACGCUGGCGGCGUGUCUAAUACAUGCAAGUCGAGCGAACAGACGAGGAGCUUGCUCCUCUGACGUUAGCGGCGGACGGGUGAGUAACACGUGGAUAACCUACCUAUAAGACUGGGAUAACUUCGGGAAACCGGAGCUAAUACCGGAUAAUAUAUUGAACCGCAUGGUUCAAUAGUGAAAGACGGUUUUGCUGUCACUUAUAGAUGGAUCCGCGCCGCAUUAGCUAGUUGGUAAGGUAACGGCUUACCAAGGCAACGAUGCGUAGCCGACCUGAGAGGGUGAUCGGCCCAACUGGAACUGGCACACGGUCCAACUCCCUACGGGAGGCAGGAGUGGGGAACUUUCCGAAAGGGGCGAAAGCCUGACGGAGCAACGCCCGGGGGGGGAUAAGGGUUUUCGGAUCGUAAAACUUUUUUAUUAGGGAAAAAAAAAUGGGUAAGAAACUUUCCCCGUUUGGCCGGGACUAAAGCAGAAACCCCAGGUUAACUAGGU